UCCGAGUUGUCCCCGGCAGUCCUUUUAGAGUCCCCGGCAUUACCCGCUGGCAACUAAAAGCAGGGGUUGCGCUCGUUGCGCCACUUAAGGCAACACCUCACGGCACGAGCUGACGACAGCCAUGCAGCACCUGUGCGGGCUCCCGAAGGAGCGCCGUGUUUCCACGGUUUCACCCCGCAUGUCAAGCCCUGGUAAGGUUCUUCGCGUCGCGUCGAAUUAAACCACACGCUCCGCUGCUUGUGCGGGCCCCCGUCAAUUCCUUUGAGUUUCAGCCUUGCGGCCGUACUCCCCAGGCGGGGCACUUCAUGCGUUAGCGCCGGCACUCAGAGGGUCGCUCCCCCAAGCACCUAGUGCCCAUCGUUUACGGCGUGGACUAC
rnacentral:misc_RNA from 1 species